rnacentral:lncRNA from 1 species
GGAAUAUGCUAGGAAUAUUCCAAGAAUAUGCCAGGAAUAUGCCAUAUGGAAUGUCUAUAAAUACCUUGCUUAAACACAAGAGUUCAUUCACCACUUAAACAUUUCACAACUCUCUCUUUCCCUCUCUACAUAAGCUUCGGCCGAACACACCCACACUAGCCACCACCAUCUUCGAUUCUUGUUCAUCCAUUCCAAGCACACACAAGCCUUUCGGGUUACGUAUUAGGAGUCUUGGAGCAAACGGAAGCGGAAGGACCUCGUUAUCUCGCUUUUAUCCACCUCUUUUUCGCCUAGAAUCUUCCCUAGCCCCGAGCUAGAGGUAUAAUGCUUAAAACUCAUUCUCGAACAUGUCUAAGGUUACGACGUUAAUUAAGCAAACCCGGUGAAGUUUACGACGC